AGAGUUUGAUCCUGGCUCAGGACGAACGUUGGCGGCGUGCUUAAUACAUGCAAGUCAACUGAAGCAGAGGUAGCAAUAUCUCUGUGGAGGUGGCGCACGGGUGAGUAGCACGUAGGUAAUCUGCCUUCAGGUCUGACAUAACCCCGGGAAACCGGGGCUAAUAUCAGAUGAUGCAGCGGCUUGACAUCAAGACAGUUGUUAAAGCUUCGGCGCCUGGAGAUGAGCCUGCGUCUGAUUAGCUAGUUGGCGGGGUAACGGCCCACCAAGGCAACAAUCAGUAGCUGGUCUGAGAGGGUGAUCAGCCACACUGGAACUGAGACACGGUCCAGACUCCUACGGGAGGCAGCAGUAAGGAAUAUUGCUCAAUGGCCGAAAGGCUGAAGCAGCAACGCCGCGUGAAGGAUGAAGGGCUUUUGCUUGUAAACUUCUGUAGUGAGGGAAAAAAUUUCCACUCUGUGGAAUAUGAUGGUACCUCAAAAGUAAGCCCCGGCUAACUACGUGCCAGCAGCCGCGGUAAUACGUAGGGGGCAAACGUUGUCCGGAUUUACUGGGUGUAAAGGGUGCUCAGGCGGUUUAGUAAGUUAGAAGUGAAAUCCUAGGGCUUAACUCUGGAACUGCUUUUAAUACUGCUAAGCUUGAAUGUGGAAGAGGAUGAUGGAAUUUCUGGUGUAGCAGUGAAAUGCGUAGAUAUCAGAAAGAA
rnacentral:rRNA from 1 species